rnacentral:rRNA from 1 species
GACGAACGCUGGCGGCGUGCUUAGCACAUGCAAGUCGAACGGUGAAGCGCCUUCCUUUUUGGUGGGUGUGGAUGAGUGGCGAACGGGUGAGUAACACGUGAGUAACCUGCCCCCUUCUUCUGGAUAACCGCAUGAAAGUGUGGCUAAUACGGGAUAUUCUGGGUCUGUCGCAUGAUGGGUCUGGGAAAGAUAUUGUUUCGGUGGGGGAUGGGCUCGCGGCCUAUCAGCUUGUUGGUGGGGUGAUGGCCUACCAAGGCGGUGACGGGUAGCCGGCCUGAGAGGGUGGACGGUCACACUGGGACUGAGACACGGCCCAGACUCCUACGGGAGGCAGCAGUGGGGAAUAUUGCACAAUGGGCGCAAGCCUGAUGCAGCGACGCCGCGUGAGGGAUGGAGGCCUUCGGGUUGUGAACCUCUUUCGCCAGUGAAGCAGGCCUGCCUCGUUUGUGGGUGGGUUGACGGUAGCUGGAUAAGAAGCGCCGGCUAACUACGUG